GGACGAUGAUGAUUUGUAGUGAAAGGUCUCGUUCGUCGUAAUUGGCUUUUUUGCCUUGCCGACCAUUCUGCUAUAUCACCACCCAUAUUCCGAGUCC
rfam:Lupinus angustifolius cultivar Tanjil contig_13745, whole genome shotgun sequence.